rnacentral:misc_RNA from 1 species
GGCUAGAGAGGGAAACUUGGAAGAAGGACCAAGUGAGAGAUUAGUAGCUUAGACUAAAUUCAGUAAGCUGUCCAUAUUUUUGGAUUGGUUGAUAUUUUAUGGUGAUGUCGAAAUAGGGAAAAGAAAAGAAAUUGUUAAUUAUGUUUGAGUUGAUGUUUUUGGGUGAUCACCCAGCUUCUUGGCCAUUGUUGGCUUUUUCCUUUUUUUAAUUACAAUUUUUUCCUUUGAAGAUAGAGUACAUGAUAUACAUUGUGAAUCAAACAAUGGUAGAACUUGAUGUAGGGCUUCAAUUUUGAGUCUUUUACCAUUAAAAGCAAGGCCUCAUUGGCAGCUAUUGUUGAUGAUAUUAAUAAUUUCCCUUUUUCUCUCCCAUUUAGAUGUAUUUGUUGGUAUUAUAUUUGAUCCUUCAUUCUUCUG